rnacentral:tRNA from 1 species
GAGCCUGUAGCUCAGCCGGUAGAGCACGUGACUUUUAAUCAUGGGGUCGUGGGUUCGAACCCCACCGGGCUCACCA